rnacentral:rRNA from 1 species
ACACUCCUGCGGGAGGCAGCAGUGGGGAAUUUUGGACAAUGGGCGAAAGCCUGAUCCAGCAAUGCCGCGUGAGUGAAGAAGGCCUUCGGGUUGUAAAGCUCUUUUGUCAGGGAAGAAACGGUGAAAGCUAAUAUCUUUUGCUAAUGACGGUACCUGAAGAAUAAGCACCGGCUAACUACGUGCCAGCAGCCGCGGUAAUACGUAGGGUGCAAGCGUUAAUCGGAAUUACUGGGCGUAAAGCGUGCGCAGGCGGUUUUGUAAGUCUGAUGUGAAAUCCCCGGGCUCAACCUGGGAAUUGCAUUGGAGACUGCAAGGCUAGAAUCUGGCAGAGGGGGGUAGAAUUCCACGUGUAGCAGUGAAAUGCGUAGAUAUGUGGAGGAACACCGAUGGCGAAGGCAGCCCCCUGGGUGAAGAUUGACGCUCAUGCACGAAAGCGUGGGGAGCAAACAGGAUUAGAUACCCCGGUAGUCCCAUGAU